AGCCACACACCCACCUCCACUACACCCCAUGACUCUGACUUCCACAGAUGUUCAUAGCAGGGUGCAGGACAGGUGGUUCCUGCCAGACCCAGAGCAUGUCAGGGUUCUGGUCAUUUGGGGGACUUUCGAAGGAGGGCCAGACAAACUGAUCUAUCUCCCUGCAGCACCAGCUGAGUCACAGAGCAGGAAGUAACUAGUUAAAGUUGCUGCUGGCUUUCCCCGAGCCACACCCUCACCUUUACCAUUGCCAUUGGCCUGUGUCCCUGGUCCAGUGAAGGGGUCAUUCUUCUCCAGUUCGGUGAGUUGGUGGUUUAUUCCUAGUCCUUAUUCCUAGACUCAGACCAAAAUUGGCAGGUAGCUGAGCCAGUGCCAUGGGGUUGCCCUCAUGGACUGUCUGACCACAUGGCAGAACCCCAGCCAACACACAGGUUCCCUAGGGCCCCCGCAUGAACUUUCAUUUCUGGGAAGAAAUCUUCCCUGGCCUCUUAACCCACAGUGACCUCCCUCACCAUGAACUUGGGGCUCCCACGAAACAUUCCCCACCUCUGAGACUCCCCACGCUUUCAACACCUUCUACCCAUAUGAUCAUCAUUAUUGCAUUCUGUUCAUAUGUAAGGAAGAUAUUAACUUUCAGGACAUGCAUCUCAUCUCCCAUCACCCAACACCCCAAGUGCCUGGAACAGCAGACUCCACUGGCCCAGCUGUUCCUCCAGGGCAGGGAUGCUGUCCUGGCCGAAAGUUCAAGGGGGCUCCGGCCAUUUUGGUCAUGUCCCUUUGUGGAAAGACAGAGGCCACUGGUCUCGAUUGCAUAGUUAAACAGUAAGGUCCUGGAAGUGAUUUCCUGGAGAUGAGGUCCCCUAGAAGCCCGUUGGAAGUGAUAUUACUUCCCUGGGCCCUGGGUAUGGCAAUAAUAAGCACCCACUGUGUGUCAGGCCCUGCAAGAGCCAGUAUUGUCUCCUUCAUCCUUCACCUUGAUCCUGGGUGGGAUCCUGGUGGGCUCUACAGACAGGGAAAACCCAGGGACUUUUAAGUGUGGAUCCCAACGCACACAUGGCCACCUCCAAAGUCCACACUCACUCCAUGGGGCAUGCUGCCCUUGCGGUCUGGAUCCCAGACCCUCCUGGCUAAGAUGGGACUGACCACUAGGGAGCACCCACAGGGUGAGGAUUCGCAGAGCAGAAGACCCCUCUCCUCACCUGCUUCCCUUUCAUAUCACCCCUAUGCAGGACCCUGUCUUGGUCUGCAGGAUUAGGGUUGACCAGGCUCCGAGGUGGGUGGCAAGAGUCUGAAGACAAGGGCUCAGCUCCUGUAUUCCCUGCCCCAGCUCCUGAAGGGCCCAUCAGGAUGGGAUCCUGCCACUUCUCAGGCCCUCGGGUCCUCCUGCCUCCCCACUGUGGGUGUUGGGCACAGACCCAGGGAAGGCUUGGCAUACGUAGAAGGCUCAUGGCCCAGUCAUGCAAGAGUGAAGCACCAGGGUCUGCAGAGCAGAGGAAGGGACAUCUGUUGGAGGCUGCAGAUACCUCAGGGGCACUUUACACUCCUCCCUGUCCCCUCCCUGCCCCUCCCCUUCGCCUUCCCCAGACUCCUUGCCAAGACAUUCCUGGGGAAGGGGAAAGGUGCACAGCCCCUGUCCUCCACCUGGAGAGACAGUGAGGUCAACUCCUCAGUAUGGCAAUUUUGGAGGUCAGAGGAGGAGGAAGUGGCUGUCCUUCCCUGUUCCUCCAUUCCUAGUACAUUGGCCCAGAGAGGUUGUAGAAACCCAAAGCUACACAGGAAGUCAGAGGUAGAAGCAACUCCGCCCCCAGCCAGCUGGGUUUUCACAAGCAACCCUGAGCAUGCCCAGAGGCCUCCGGUCUGCAGAGGGAGGCUGCAGCGUCUCCCUGCCGAGAGCACUGGGAACUGGAGCUUUGCAUGCAUCCUCCUUCAGGCCCUCCACAAUGGCCCCAGGAGCCAGGCCCUGUCAUCAUCCCAUUCUACAGCUGAGGACAUUGAAGGCUGGCCAACAGGGAGGGCAGGAUGAACCAGGCAGCUUGGCUCUAGGACCCAGAGGCCAGAUGGCUCCUGUGUAGUGGGUGCUUUCCAGCAGUUCCCCUGAACUGUAGGGCCCUCAUGUUCAGCGGCCGCCAAAGACAGUCCCAGGGCUCCUUGUCCCUCAUAGACCAACCUGCAUUCAGGGCCACAGUAGGUCCUCCAAGGGCUCACUGCCUCCAGAGGUGGGGUCAUGAUAUGACCAGAAAGACAUUUUGAAAGAGAGAAAAGUCCUUGCUGUGCAGACCUGAGGGAACUGUUAAAUGCAGGAAUUCUGUUGCCCUGGGAGACAGGGUACUCUCCCCAACUGUUUGGAACCAGCCAGAAAGCCAAUGGUGAGGCUUGGAAUGUUCACCUGGG
rnacentral:lncRNA from 1 species